UUAAAGAUUCAUCUAUAAUAUAUUUUGUUACAUUAGCAAAUUAUUAAUUAUUAAUAACAAUUAACAACAGAUUUGUCCUAAUCAAUUCUCUGAAUUGCCCAAUCUAAAAUAAUAAUAUUGUGUUAAAACAUGUUUACUCAGCAUAAAUUCCAAUCAUAAUUAAUGAAUGAUUAAAAUUAUUAGUACGUAAUAUAUGCAUUGAAUGGUUUAAUAACAUGAUGACACUGACUGUUGAGUACCUAAUUUUAUUAUUAGGUAUUAUUAAUAUUAUUACUCUUGAGUACCUACCUGGCUACCUAUAUAUAUAUCCCACUGAAGUUACUACAACUUCAGUCAUAAAAACUUCUCAUCACAAAAUCGCAUUGUAACAAACUCAAUCGAUUGACGCAAUGACGCUUCUGCAAAGCUUAUAAAAUAAACUGUGUGGAAAAUGCACACGUGCACCAUGGCCCGUAAGUAUAUAGUACAAUACCCACAACAUUUAAAAAAAGUUCAUCAUCCUACACACUUAAUGACCGAUACCUUCGAAGAAAAAAGUAACUGAGAAGAAAUCAAAAGGACGCCCUGGGAAACAAUAUUUUGAACACAUCCAAGAACUCGUAGACUGUAAGUAUUUUGAUUCACUGAGUAGUGUGGCGUCAAACAGAGGAGUGGCUUCAACGACAAGGCAUCGCCUUUAAUAAUUGAUGAUGAUGAACAAUUCAAAUUAUAAUUUGUACUUAGGAGUUAGGAGGAGCGGAGGACGCCACAUCCGCAUACGUAGUCUCCGUCUUAUAAACGCACAACUUACUAAAUUGGUUUUCAGCAGUUCCAAUGUUGUGUUAUAACUUUUGAUAACAUAGUGAAUUGACCAGUGUUUGAAAAAAAUGGACGUGCGUUCGUAUUUCGUAAACGGUACUCGGCUUUUUUUUUCAAAUAAAACGUGAACGUUCGCAACUGCCGUAAGUGUACGAAAUGAUUUUAUAUAGACACGCCUAGUCCCGUUUGUUACAGCCGUACCGCAGUCUGCAAUAGUGCAAUCAUUGAACGAAACACUUCAAAAUAAAAUAACUAUUUAUGUGUAUAGGUACCUACUGAUUGAACCGGUGCGACAACGGCACGUGCAACUACUGCCCGGAAACGGACGACACCGGCACCGCAGAGCGCAAGUUGUUCAGAUGCCUCAGACGGCACGGCGAUAGAAGAAGAAUAACGGAACUCCUGAGAAGGGCUCCGGAACCAGCAGACGUCGAAGAGAUUCUGUGCGGCCCACUGCCGGAGAGCCUCCCCGCAGACCUGAACGCCAAAUCACGUCUGCUGGCCCAAGCAUCGCUAAAUCGCUCGGAAUUCGUGUUAAAUGAUCGACCGCAUCCUCGCGCAAAAAGAAGCGGACGAACGGGAAGAACAGGCACGGGUCUAACCACCUCGCUCGCGAAAUCCGCGAGAAGUCGGAGGUGCCACCGACCACGACUCCCCUCUUCUUCCACUAUGGCACCACGGGUGGGAAGACGAUCACGGCAUUCCGGAAGUCUAGAACGUGACCCGAGGCCGGCUGGCUAACAGCAACCAAAAAAAACAUGACACCAGCAGAAACGUAAUUUAAUGUAAGGGGGUAAGUCGGGGGAUUGUCCCGUCUACCCACGUUAGUAUACGUAUAUAUUGACGUUUAUUUAUUUAUUUCAAUAAACCAAUAAACGAUGGCGACGUCGCGGAAGUAAUGUGAAAGCAGUCGCCGCGGCGCCGUCGGUUCAAACCGGAAAAAAAAAAA